CGGGUAGCAAUGGAGACGGGCCUCCGGUGCGGCACUCUGAGUCUCCCACACUCAGCUCCCCACGCUCUCCUCCCUCCUCCCGGGGCCUCCAGCACUUUAAACGCCUGUUUGCGUUUAACCCUUCAUCUGACUGCUGCUGCCGUGGCUGGGGUAGGCUUCAUCCUCAGCGGCUCCUGGCUCCCCUGAAGCCUAGCGCUCCCCUGGGAUGAGGCUGACUGGCAGGCAGGCGGAGGCCCGGCAGAUGAUAGAUCCCACCACCACCACCACCACCGCCGCCGCCGCCGCC
ensembl:lncRNA